CAAAAAUUGGCAGCUUACAAAAACUGGAUACAUAGAUUAUCCAUCCUACCUAUGGAUAAUGCAGCAAAAAAUAAAGAAUUAAACAUAAUUAUUAAUAUCGCGGAAAACAAUGGUUACAAUAAAGAACUCAUCACACAUAUGUAUCAUAAACGUCAACAACAAAAAACAAAGGGCCCCAUUGAAAGAAGAGAACAGAAAUGGGUUUCCUACACAUAUAACGGAAACUACACAAGAAAAAUUACGAAACUAUUCAAAAACACGAACGUAAGGAUAGCUUUUAAAGUAAAUCAUACAUUAGGUAAAAUACUAAACCAAAAACAAAGCAUAAAUUCUUACGAACAAAGCGGCAUAUACAAAUUGACAUGCCAGGAGUGCCAACAGGUGUAUAUAGGUCAAACAGGCAGAAAAUUGAUAACACGCUAUAAUGAACAUAUAAGAAGUAUAAGAUUCAAUAAAAAUGACUCAGCUUAUGCUCAACACAUCUUAAAUAGACAACAUCAAUACGGCCCAAUUUCGCAAAUCAUGGAACUGAUUGAAGUGGCAAGGAAAGGUAAAUUAAUGAAUAUAAAGGAAGAAUAUCAAAUUUACCGCCACUAUAGGGAAAACAAAUUAAUAGAUGAGCAGAAACAGGCAAAAGAGAUCAAUAACCAGAACAGCAUGUUCGACCUCAUUACUACUUGUAUAAACACACCCACCACCACGUCAUAACACACAAGGCCUUAAAUAACACUGACGUAGAUCACCCACUGCAGUACACAACACACAACGCGUAAGACACAUCCGACCAAAAGCAUACACAACCUCAAGUUGACGAUUCCCAUCACCGGGACGAAUCAACAAGAAGGAGCCAAAUUUUAUUUCAAAUGUUUUAAGCUUUUAAAUAUUUUAACAUUGACGGCUCAAUUUGAGAGCAUUCUUUGGAUGGAAUGCAAGAGG